UUCUCUGCUGACACAAUGAUCGUCGGAAAAUUAGGGAUUGGGAACGAAGCACUAGAGCUUCGGCGUAAACUAACACCAUCAGGAAGGAAUAUUUUUUUGAGAGAAAAAGGUGAGACGGAAGAAGAGCAAACAUAGAAGGUGCUAGUUUCUCUUAACUAGAAGCCAAUUAAAGUGAUUGUAGAUUUGAGAAAUCUACAAGGCCAAUCUUGAGUUGACGUGUGGAAGAACGAAGAGACAGCAAUUGACGCUAGCGAGAAUUUCAUUAAUUAGAGUAUACGAGUUGACAGUCCCUCAUGAGUCCCAUACUAGUUCGCGUGGGAAAAAAGUUUAUUUAUUGUUAUCGUCUUUUCUUUUGAACUCUUAGAGCCGCUCCAUAGUUAUUUUUAUUAGUGUCAUGAGUAUUCAUUCGUUAUGUUGGACUAGUUAGUAGUAUUGCACUUUUUUUCCGUAUUUUUGAGAUGGGAUUAGUAUUAUUAUAUUGGUAAGGUUGGUAGUAUUAGUGAAAACUCGUUUUCAGUUAGUUGAUGAAGACUGUGACUGGUUUAGGUGAAUAUUGGUUGGUUGUUAUUUGUUUAUGAGACAGGAAAACUUUUUGAAAA